CUGGGCUCCGGAGAGCUGGAGCCGGGCUCCUGCGCCAGCCGCCUCGCCCCCGGCCCCGCCGCUGCAGCUCGAGUGCCAGUUUAGGGAUCAAAGAAGAAGGCGGGGGGACGGGGGGAGAGAGGAAAAAGAACACAGCAGCACUUGAAAAAUACUGACCCUGGAGAACAUCGUGCAUCAGCUCAUUUCUGAGCAUUCUUUUGGUCCUUGGGUCCAUUCCUUUUCUCACUGUGGCCAAGGAGAUUCUGGGUGCAAAGCCAGAAUUUCAAGAUCUUGAGUCACUUGCACCUACCUUGCUGGUGUCAGAAGGGAGUGACCACAGGCCUGACCUCAUGCCACAAUUCAGCAGCCCUGUAAAGGAGGAAAAUCACAAGUGCUCUGAAAAGUUAUGUUCACACAGAACACGGGUGGCAGUUCAAAAGACCUCUUAAAUACAUACCUGAGAUCGACAGACCUCAAUUAUUUCUAAACUCUGGCUUGCUCUACUUCUCUGCCUAUGCACUGUGAAAAUAAAUCACUCAACUCUGUUACUAUGUUUUAUGUGAAAUGAAUGUUAAAUAUUUUUAUAAAUAUAGGGUAUCCCUUAAUAAAGAAAGUUGUGUAUUAAAAAGACAGCAUUUCCUUUGAUAGAAGAAAAUGUCAAAGCUUCAAAAAUA